rnacentral:rRNA from 1 species
GAGGGAAAGUUGCAAAGCACUUUGAAGAGAGAGUUAAAGAGGACGUGAAACCGAUGAGAUGGAAACGGACAGAGCUGGCGUAUCUGGUCUGCAUUCAUCCGUGUGUUCUUGGGCGUUUGGGUUGCUACUCUCCAGACUGGGAUGGUGCUUAUUCUGCUCAGGGGCUCAUGGAGCAUUUGCAGGCGGAGUGCGCUGAGACGCUCGGAGCAGCUGCAUGAGCUUAGCUUUGAGGCCAGCCCUUCGGGGUCUGGUACCCGGGCUGGGGGAGUGCUGUUUGUUCUGGGUGUUGAGUGUGUGCAAUGGCAUCGGGUCCGUGUUGGUUUGAGCUGGCGGUUGGUGGCAGUCGCGUGCGACACGUGCCAGCAGUUAGUUCGGUCCUGCUCGGGCUCUCUUUGCAUGUUCUCAGUGUAAAAGCCGGUCAUCUGUCCGACCCGUCUUGAAACACGGACCAAGGAGUUUAGCGUGUGCGCGAGUCAUUGGGUGUUGAAAACCCAAGGGCGUAAUGAAAGUGAAGGUCUCCUUGCGGAGCUGAUGUGUGAUCCCGUGCACCCCGGUGUGCGGGCGCAACAUAGUCCCGUUCCUAUCGCAUGCGAUGGGGCGGAGACAGAGCGUACGCGCUGAGACCCGAAAGAUGGUGAACUAUUCCUGAGCAGGAUGAAGCCAGAGGAAACUCUGGUGGAAGUCCGAAGCGAUUCUGACGUGCAAAUCGAUCGUCUGACUUGGGUAUAGGGGCGAAAGACUAAUCGAACCAUCUAGUAGCUGGUUCCCUCCGAAGUUUCCCC